ensembl:piRNA 21ur-3763 ncRNA
UAAUCGUUUCGAGGAAACAGU